AAAUGCAAAGGAGGAUGCUGGAUUAGAAAUCACAGCAGCUGGGUUGUCACUUGUUUAUAUGUGACUUCAGAUAAAUCACAACCUCUCAGAGCUCUCAUUUUUUAUAAGCAUGGAUAAAAAUGUCCAUCUUUCUAACCUCACCUGGUUAUUGUGAAAACCAGAUGAAUGUGGAUAUUCAUAAUCUCUGUAAUGUCAUGUAAGUACUCAUUGUUAUAUAAAUAUUGAUGUUACAGGAAAACCAUAUGGAUAAGAUUAUAAACACAAGAGAGGAAACAAAGGAUUAAGUAAGCUGAAGAAAUGCCAAAUUUCUUACUUCAAGGAAAAGGAACUAAAAAACAUUUUGUCCAGCUAUUUUCUUCUGAUAUGAAGCACAUGAGUUAAAGUUCUCAACUUGAGGUACAUCUCCAUGGUUACAAGAGGGCAAGCUGCCUCUUUGUGCCCAGAAGAGCUGGGAUUGUUUUCACUUGAAAUUGAAUAGCACCCAAGCUGCAUUUGCAGAAUGACAAACUCAAUUAUUUACCUGCCAGAGGAUUCCAGGGAAUGGCACUAGGCUGGUCCAACAGGGAUGUCCAGGUAUAAGAAAAAGGAAACCAAAUAAGAAGAGAGGACAAUAGAUUCAACAUGGAUAAAUCAGAGAUAUGUGAGAAUGAAUAAAAAGAACAAAAACUAAACUAAAGAAACAGUGAAUUUGUCUUCUAUUUUACUCUUAAAAAGAAGUUCUGGUCAUGAAUAUAAGAGAGUCAGCAGCCAAAAUGAAAAUCCAGCAGUUCCUUAAGGAAGUAAAAAUUUUCAACCAUUUCUAAUGUAUACGUAAA
rnacentral:lncRNA from 1 species